AUAUCUCUCCGUACGGGAAGGAUGAGAAGCUUCGACCAAGGUUCGAUUCGAGCGCAGCGAGAAAGCGUUGCCGCAGGCAACGACCCGAA
rnacentral:sRNA from 1 species